rnacentral:rRNA from 1 species
UACGAAGGGGGCUAGCGUUGCUCGGAAUCACUGGGCGUAAAGGGUGCGUAGGCGGGUUUUAAGUCAGAGGUGAAAUCCUGGAGCUCAACUCCAGAACUGCCUUUGAUACUGAGAAUCUUGAGUUCGGGAGAGGUGAGUGGAACUGCGAGUGUAGAGGUGAAAUUCGUAGAUAUUCGGAAGAACACCGAGUGGCGAAGGCGGCUCACUGGACCGGCAUUGACGCUGAGGUGGCGAAAG